AGCUCGACCGGGUCGACGGCCCGCGUCACCGUCAGGUAGUCGCGGAUCACGAUGCCGUGCCGGUUCUC
rnacentral:sRNA from 1 species